UGUUUUUUUUUUUUUUUUUUUAAAUCUGUAUAUACUGUCUGUCUAUAAUGUGGGCUGUGAGUAGCUUUGAGUUGCAAAGAAGUCACAGAGAAGAACCAUUUGGGUUUCUUAAGUACAGGUAUUGAGCAGCAUGAAGGACAGUGCUGCCCAGCUCAGGGUGUCUGCUUGGUGGGUCUGACCCCCGCCCAUCCAGUUGUUUCUGGGUGUGUGAGAGAUCUUUCAUUCAUCUGGGUCUAACUGGUUGAGGGACUUUCCCACCUGGGCGGGGCUUCAUGGCCUCCAUUGCUUUUGCUGUCUUUGACCCCUUUUGUUGGGGCUUCUGCAGGCAUUCUGUCUGGGAGCAAUGGAGGGCUGCCUUCUGUGGAACUGUGGGAGGGAGGUUCACCGAUCAGAUGAACAUCUCGUCCAAGCCAGAAUUCUGCGGGGGACACGUGAGCUUUGCUUACAGUUUGCUUUCACCGUACAGACUGAAAGAAGGUUUCAGACUUCCUUUUCUCAGAAAGCAUGAAGAAUUUAUGACGUCUGGCAAAAGAAGCCGCUACUGUAAUGUUCCAGAUGUGUGCAGUAGAGCGCACUGUCACAGCCCUUUCUGCACCACCCAGGCAUCUGUGGCCAUGGAGGGAGGUCCUGCAGACCGCAUUUCCAGAGUUGAGGCCCUCACGAUUGUGCUGUGGGUUUGCUGCUGCUGCUGCUGAGUCCUUCUGGGGGGACCCCUGAGGUGGGGAGCAGAGGGCUUUUGUUCACACUCCCUUUGCCUGGGAGCCCACUUGUGUUGCUGCUGUGUUGUGUAUAUAGGUGAGCGUAUGUGUGUCUGUUUGUCACUUUGUUUCCUCCAUGAUUUCAAUCAUACCCGGACGUCCUCAGAGCCCCUACAUCCUGUUUGGAAUUAUGGCCAACCUAAUCUGUCAAGAGGCUCGGCCCUUUUCAAAACUCAGUGUACACUUUUUAUGGCGUGUGACCAGUGCACAUGCAGCCUGGGGACCUCUGCUGUUGUUUGUAAGCUGUGAUGAUUCUUCCCCUUCCUAAUUGCAGGUUGAGAUUGACGUGGGAAGGAGUGGCUGGCAGGGAGGGAACGUGUUCCCUGAGUGUUAACCCACAGCCUGCCUCAGUUUACCGACUGCUGAGGAGGCUGCAGUGUCCAGUGCUCAGUCAGCCCUCAGAGUGUCCGCCGUGCCCCAUGGGAGCAGGGGUGGAGCAGCUCCUUGUCUCUCAGCCCUGACUUCCUUGUCAACCUUGUGGCUUGUUCUCAGCUCCCAGGAUUACACUGAGCGCAACGCUGCUGCCUUCAGCUUGGUUCUGGCUGGGCAGCCCUGAGUGGGAGCUUUGCUCUGAGGGUUCUCCUCUGACUUGCCCUCAAAUUUCACCAAUUCUGAAACUCUGUGGAGAAGUUUCUGUCACCAGCGGCCUCCUGUUGCUAUUAAGUCAUGUCAUGGGCACCUAAGAGAGGAAGUACACUGAGGUGUGUUUUACAAUUGUUCCUUAAGAUUCUCAAUGGUGAUUGGGAUUGAGAAACUGCAAUUUUCUGAUUGAAAAAUAACCUUGGAUCACCAAAUUAGGUAGAGCAGGGCACACCACUCCCCAGCAGCCAGGGCUCACUCUUGGCAGCAGCUGAGGCUUGAGGAAACUGGUGUCCUAAAACACUGAACCCAGUGCCCACUGGAGCUGCCGGCCCCAGGUUUUUCUUCUUUCCUGAGUUCCCCAGUCUUGUGAGAGCAUUUCCCAGUCAGGUAGCCAGGGGAGCAGUGCCACCAUGCGAUUGUACAGUGUGUUGUUUGUCUCAUUAAACAGGCAGGCCCCAGAGACUGCGUUCACGGCACCAUGCAGAUCUCCGUGGUUCACAUAGCUUGCUUUACACUCGUUUUGUCUUGUCAGAAAUAAAAUGUUUGUGCCUUUCCUUGUCAUGAACUCUGUGUUUGUCACUUUGACACAUGGCUGUGUUUCCACUUUGUGUGAGCAUAAGCACUGUGCAGUUUUACUGUUUUCCAGUUUGUGUGCCAACCAUUCCUAGCAGCCCUCUGAGGUAUCUCAGGUGAGAGCCACAGGGUGGAACCAGAAAGUACCCCAUCUCGAAGUGUGCCUCUGGGACAGCGUUAUUAGCUAGUCCCUGAGGCCCCAGCACAGGAAAUACUGCAGUGUUCCUUCCUGCAGGCCAUGGAGCCCUGACCCAGGCCAGUCCUGGGCAGUGCUUAGGUGGCUGUUAGCAUAUAACAGGUGAAGUAAGGAUUUGGUGAAGAGCGGGGUCCCAGAAACCAGGCUGAGAACAAGCCGGGGUGUCUUCCUGGUGAGUCCUGCUCACGACUGUUCUCAGGAAAACUGAGCCUUCCCUUUGUGUGUAUGUUCCUCACCCACAACCAUUUCACUGUCAAAAAGUUCACAUUUGUGUCUUCUGAAAGUGAAGGAAGCUGGGAGAGUAUGCGCAUCCAUAUGGUCCAUGUGUACCCAUGCACACACAUGGACACAUGCACACACACAUGCACAGGCACACACACACAUGCACACGCAUGGACACAUGCACACACACAUGCACAGGCACGCGCACACAUGCAUAUGCAUAAACACAUGCACACACACAUGCACACAGCCUAUUUCACAUUCUCAGUCUUAGUUUCUGCUUUAUAACCACAUUAUAAAUAAUGAUAAUAAUAAAGUGAAUUAUUCUUAAAGUACUGUAGUGUGUGUGAGGCAGUCUUCAGAGGUGUGAAGUGUAACAUGUAAUCUUACAUAGGUGGACUGUGAAGGUUUUUCUGGUGUUUUGCUCUGCCUGCUUUCAUCCUGUAACCUGGGCUGUAUUAUACAAGAGGACUUGAGCAGUGCAUUUCAAGAGAAUCAGCAGAGACCUUCUGUUGGGCUAAUUGCUGGGUUGGCUGGGACCUGCUCUGAAGGGAUCCCUCAGUUCACUGAGUGGCAAGCCGAGGUCAGUCCUCGCUGUUGAUGGAGCUGGGAGGAGGAGUGACCUAAGGACUCAGGACAGAGCAUGUCACACACAGUUCUGCAGUUCUGUGUGCAGUCACUGUGUUCCUCAAUGAGUCAGCCUGAGGUAGAUUCCCAGGGAAGCCUUUUCCUCACUAUCAAUGUGGGAUGUCACAAGUAAAACUUGUUGUGUUAGUAAUCUAAGGCCAUGUUGUCUUUGUCUUUUAGAGUAAUUCCUGGCUGUGCCUACUACUCCUGCAUACCGUGCUUUUGUGCAUACUGUGCUUAUGUGCAUACUGUGCUUUUGUGCAUACUGUGCUUUUGUGCAUACUGUGCUUUUGUGCAUACUGUGCUUUUGUGCAUACUGUGCUUAUGUGCAUACUGUGCUUAUGUGCAUAUUGUGCUUUUUGGGGAGGAGGGCAGGUUCAUGUGCAUCCAGGGUUCUUGCUCUUUCCAGGUCAGGAUGAGAAGAAGGCCUAAGAGAGCAUGAACAGGUGACUGAUGCAGGUACAAUAGGAGUUGUCAACUAUCAGGCACUCUGUCCCAGAAGGAGCUGGGAGCUGCCAGAGAGGAGGCUACUUGUUGGGUAGAUCUUCAGACUCAGCGUGGGUGAAGGAAGCACCCUUCCCCUUACCACUCUUCCUCACGGCUGCCCAACAUCCUGUGUUUAAAGACUUGGCUUCUGCUUCCUGACUCAGUUCCUGGUUGAAUGGGCACCUUCCAGGAGCCUGCUGGGGUAUAGACCAAGGAGCAAAGGAGAGUUCUUAUUUAAGGGCUUUGCUGGGCUCAUCUGUGGGUCCUGGGUCGUCCUCACAUUCUUGCAGGGCUCGCCCAUGCUCAUGAGCACACAUAGCCAUUAGAAUGUGGUCCACCUUUCUGUCCACUCUAGCCUCCCUCUCUUUGGGUUGAUGGAGCGACCUUACCUGGGCUCUGUGCUCUCCUGUGGUGGAGGCCAUUAGCAUUGGGCUGCUGCUUCCCCGGGCAAGACAUUCUCUCUUUUUUUCUAAAGGUCAAAAGCCCCUGGUGAUGGGGGCACUUUAGGUGUGCUUUGGAUGCUGACCUGUUAGGGUUUUAGGAUGUAGGGAUGAUUUUGAUACUACACUUGAUCUUAGCCAAAAGGCCGAGAAGCGAUUGAUUUUGAGACUAGAAGGGCAGACUACACGCAAGCCAGAGCUUUAUGACCGGCCAGUGAUCCUCAGAUCCGUUGGCUGUUUGAAGACCUGUCCCCACUCCCCCUUUAUCAGGUGACUGCCUGGCUCUGUAUCUUACUCGUCAGCCAAUGAAGUAGCAACAGUGCAUUAUUAAUAAUUGCAAUCAAACAGUGCUUAAUAUGCGCCAGACACAGUGCCGGGGGUUUGCAUGCAUGAGCUCCUUCAAUCCAGAAGAAGCUCUGCCUAGGUGGUAUUAUCCCAUCUCACAGAUGGGAAAACUGAAGUUCUGUGCUAGACAUUGAGACCAAAGCGAAGACAACAGACUUGAGGCUUAGGUAGCACUCUGUCUGGUCCGGUUACAGGCUGCAGGCAGCCUCACUUCCGACCAGCUGCUGUGAGGAACGGAUGAGCUAAUGCAUGUAAGCCCUUAGCAAGGUGCCUGGCACCUAGUAAGCACUCAAUAAACGGUAGUUGUUUUCAUUUCAUUCUUUCAACCUGAGCUCAGCGAGGAGUUCGGCCCACAUUGAUGGGCUGCCGGGGAUUCAGCCACCACACUCUCACUGCCUGGACCUAGUUUGGUGUUCCUGUCCCCCCAAGAGAAGCUCUUCAGUGGUCCAAUGGUAAGAGCCCUGGGCAGCAGCUUGGUGUUUCCAUAGCAUUGAGGCCAGCCUGACUGAGGGAUGAUGUGAGGUUGUUUGGCGUUCCUGUUCUUUUCCCUGUGGUGGUGGAGACUGCUCACAGGAGAAAGGCUGUUUGCUCUGACUUGGUGGUGCCUCUACUGGGCAGCCACGGCUUACCUUGCUCUGGGCCCUGCUCUCCCCAGCCAAGUUCUCUACUUCUGUUGUACGUCUCAGGAACCCUCGGUUCCCCCACAAGUGGAUGAUUUCGGAGUAGAGCAGAAUAGAGAAAACAAACCUUAAGCUUCGUGUACCACCCAGAAGCCUAAGAGCCCUGCCUGAGCGCUGACAGCGUAACCACUCCCCCUCUUCCCUCUCUGUCUGGUUUCGUUUGUUGUUUUGAGACAGAGUUUCUUCAUGUGUAGCCCUGGCUGUUCUGGAACUUGCUCUGAAGACCAGGCUGGCCUCAAACUCAGAGAUCUGCCAGCCUCUGCUAUCCAGGUGCUGGGAUUAAAGGUGCCACCACCACCUGGGUUUUCUUUCUUAAAAGGACAGGUUAGAGCAGGCGACCAUUGAGGACAGGUGACGUGAGUGUUUGUUCUAGAUUAGCAACAAAUCACAUAGAUUGGGUUUUUUUUCCCCUACAAGAAGAGAUUUAUUGAGAGGAACACAUAGGUUGUUAAUCAUGAAUGGAGAGAUAUUUAAUUCAGUUUUCUGAAUAGAUACUGGGAAUUGGGGGGGAGUGAGUCUGUCUGUCUGUCUGUCUGUCUGUCUGUCUGUCUGUCUGUCUGUCUGUGGUCUUCACCUUUAUUGAGUGGCAUUGGCUAACAUGACCCAGGAGAUUCUCACACUCUGUUAGUAGUAAGGGGGAACUUCUGCUCCAGCUGUGGAGUGUCCCGGGUGUUAGUGAGGCCCAUAGGCCUGUUGCUGGGGUUCAGAUAUGGAGCUCCUCUUGUUCUUUUGCACUUGUGUUUGCCAGCCCUGAUCCCUCCUUUGCCGUGCCAUCUGAUGGACAGGCCGUCCUUUUAUCUAGAGGGAAAAGUCUGAUGCCAAUAGAGGUCCUGAGUGCUGCUCUCCCAGGCUCUGGCCAGGCCCAGCUCCAUAGCUCCUGAAUGAAUGUCCGAGUUCCCUGAGUGUCUGAGAAGGCCUAACCACACAGCCACCUGCUCUAAGUUACACUGUUUUUAGGUCUCACCUCAGCCCUUUCUGCUUUCCUUACUAGAAUACCCUUUCCUCAUCCACCAGGUUUGUGUGCUGGUUCAGCGGACUUUUCUCAAAGGAACACUGAGGUAGAAAGAGGGUAAGAAUGUUUUUCCAGUGAGUUGAAUGUGCAUACAUGUUUAUGAGAGUCCUCUGUAUGAGCUUUCUUCUCGCUCAUUGGUUUGUCUCAGGCCACACUGGGAGGUGUCUAGGGCUGAACAUAGGGGAGAGAAUGGAGACAAGGGAGCCACUCAGACUCUGGGGGCAGCAACUCUUCAUCUGGCUCGGACUCCUGAGAGCCACAGGAACAGCAACAGGACCCAGAGCAGUAAAAGGGGUUGGGAGUCACACAACUCAAGGUAGACUCAGACCAGUGCAGUGCUCCUGGUGGCCAUAGGAACCAGAAAACACCUUAGGAAAUCUCUCCAUCCUGGGAGUUGUGGAGAGCUCACUGGCCUCUUCUAGAGUCUGUGAACCCAAAUCUCUGCUGACGUUUAAACACUUUCCAAACAGCAGCAGGGAUCACAGUGGCAGACAGGACACACACCCCAGGCUGUUUCUCAGCCUCUUCCAUUGUGCGGAGGGAAUACUUACUUCACUUAACGCACAGUGCCUGGUGGCUUUCCUGCCCUCAGACCUGGGCAGUGGCACUCAGUCCCUGGCUGUGUGAAAUCCAUGUGGCAGUCCUCUGGUCUCCCCAGACAGGCAUGUGCGUGUGUGUUCUGUCCAGCCCGGGCUUCACCAGUCAGUGUUGCCACCACGUCCGACCUUUCUCUCUGCACUUAGGAUUGGUGUUCACCACACCCGUAGAUUCCUUUCAACGCAGUAUAAGAAUGUGAUAUAUUGUAUAUUGGAAAGUAUUUACCUUAUUUAUAUACCUGAAUGUUCCUAUUAAACAAAUAAACAUAUACUAAAUUCUAGGCUGUGUGUGGUUUUUGAUGGGAGAAGCCCUUUUAAAAAGUUAUUAUCUUAUGUGUAUGGAUGUUUUACCUGCAUGGAUGUGUGUACCAAAUAUGUGCCUGUUUGCUGGACAAACCAAAAGAGGGCACCAGAUCCGGCUGCAACUGGAAUUACAGGUGGGUGUUGGGAAUUGAACCUGGGUCCCCAGAAGAGCAACCGGUGUUUUUAAUCACUGAGCCAUUCAUCUCUAUUCCUGAGGGGUUAGUUUCUAUGUUUGUUUUUAGGCAGUCUCACUACGUAGCCUGGGCUGGUGUGGGAUGCGUUUUGGGGUCCAGCUGUGGUUCCACAUCCUCUUCCCAGACCCUGCUACACACCAGGCUGGAAGGAUGGAGCAGAGUCUGGCUGGGAGUGAAUGCAGGGGGGUGGUGUUGAGUUGGGGACAAGCAGGUUUAGGAGAAGGCCUUCUCCAAGGAUCUAAGUAUUACAGCUCUUUAGGACUUCUCUGGUGAUCUUCAAUGAAACAGCUGUGUAUCUGCUUGAACUAAGAGAUGCUCUAACCUGGCCGCAGGUGAAAAAUAAUCAGGGUGUUUCGGAAAGUUCCAGUAUCCAGGCAGCUGAGACCAGUUAAAUCAGAAAUGUUAACUUGAACAUCAUCGUCAUUAUUAUUAUUAUUAUUAUUAUUUUUAAAGAAGCUCGCACUGUGCUUCUAAUGUGCAGC
ensembl:lncRNA